AAAACGACUCUCGGCAACGGAUAUCUCGGCUCUCGCAUCGAUGAAGAACGUAGCGAAAUGCGAUACUUGGUGUGAAUUGCAGAAUCCCGUGAACCAUCGAGUCUUUGAACGCAAGUUGCGCCCCAAGCCUUUUGGCUGAGGGCACGUCUGCCUGGGUGUCACAA
rnacentral:rRNA from 2 species